ACCGGUAAAAUAUUUUUAAGGCCAUUUUUCCCCGGUCACAAAUUACCCAUUUUUUUUUUUUUUUUUUUUUUUUUUUGGGGGGCCAUUUUUGACCCAUCGGCGAGUGAAGACGUCAAUGUGUAGUAUAGUCGUUAUUAUGAACAGGAACAAUAAUUCGGAGAGUCAGUGUAGAAUUAUUUUCCAAUUUCAACUUACGGAUGAAUAGAUGAGCGGGAAAAUAAUUUCUGACGCAACUUUGGGGCUUCAUAAUAUAAUUCUGAUAUUAUAAAUGUUGCUGAUAUUUCAAAGCC
rnacentral:ribozyme from 1 species